GUGCUUGCACCGAGCGGAUGAGUUGCGAACGGGUGAGUAACGCGUAGGUAACCUGCCUCUUAGCGGGGGAUAACUAUUGGAAACGAUAGCUAGUACCGCAUAAAAGUCGAUAUCGCAUGAUGUUGACUUGAAAGGUGCAAUUGCAUCACUAAGGGAUGGACCUGCGUUGUAUUAGCUAGUUGGUGAGGUAACGGCUCACCAAGGCGACGAUACAUAGCCGACCUGAGAGGGUGAUCGGCCACACUGGGACUGAGACACGGCCCAGACUCCUACGGGAGGCAGCAGUAGGGAAUCUUCGGCAAUGGGGGCAACCCUGACCGAGCAACGCCGCGUGAGUGAAGAAGGUUUUCGGAUCGUAAAGCUCUGUUGUAAGAGAAGAACGAGUGUGAGAGUGGAAAGUUCACACUGUGACGGUAACUUACCAGAAAGGGACGGCUAACUACGUGCCAGCAGCCGCGGUAAUACGUAGGUCCCGGAGCGUUAUCCGGAUUUAUUGGGCGUAAAGCGAGCGCAGGCGGUUAGAUAAGUCUGAAGUUAAAGGCUGUGGCUUAACCAUAGUACGCUUUGGAAACUGUUUAACUUGAGUGCAGAAGGGGAGAGUGGAAUUCCAUGUGUAGCGGUGAAAUGCGUAGAUAUAUGGAGGAACACCGGUGGCGAAAGCGGCUUCUCUGGUCUGUAACUGACGCUGAGGCUCG
rnacentral:rRNA from 1 species